AUUGAACGCUGGCGGCAUGCCUUACACAUGCAAGUCGAACGGCAGCGGGGGAGAAGCUUGCUUUUCCUGCCGGCGAGUGGCGAACGGGUGAGUAAUACAUCGGAACGUGCCCUGUAGUGGGGGAUAACUAGUCGAAAGAUUAGCUAAUACCGCAUACGACCUGAGGGUGAAAGUGGGGGACCGCAAGGCCUCAUGCUAUAGGAGCGGCCGAUGUCUGAUUAGCUAGUUGGUGGGGUAAAGGCCUACCAAGGCGACGAUCAGUAGCUGGUCUGAGAGGACGAUCAGCCACACUGGGACUGAGACACGGCCCAGACUCCUACGGGAGGCAGGAGUGGGGAAUUUUGGACAAUGGGCGAAAGCCUGAUCCAGCAAUGCCGCGUGUGUGAAGAAGGCCUUCGGGUUGUAAAGCACUUUUGUCCGGAAAGAAAUGGCUCUGGUUAAUACCUGGGGUCGAUGACGGUACCGGAAGAAUAAGGACCGGCUAACUACGUGCCAGCCGCCCGCCGUAAUAC
rnacentral:rRNA from 1 species